rnacentral:lncRNA from 1 species
GCCACCCUAACUUUGAGAAAUAUGAACUUUUACUCUGAAUUUACACGUUAAUUUCAAAGUAAAGAGUGCUUUUGAGUAAAACAGAUGCUUAUGUUGUCAGUCAUAAUGGGCCCUAGAAGACUUAAGAAAAAAAGAUAAUAAUAAAAGCGCAGGCGGAUGAAACAACAACACUAGUUCUCUAAAAAUGUAUAUAAAUAAUCGCUUUAUCUAAUAACAGUUCAGUAACCAUUUAUACUUCAGCCGAGCUCAAGUAAUCAUUUAAAAUGAAGCUCCUAUGUAUAUUGUUCGUGGUGUUAGCGGCUCUGACCAUCAUUGCCCUGGCUAAACCAGUCGUGCCUUUCAAACCGGCGGAGUGUCCUCCAGGAUAUAGGUUGGGUUCUAAUGGAAUAUGCAAGCAAAUUUUUACUAGGUAGCAGAAAUGAGAGAAGAAAGUGUCUAGAUAUCAGCACAAACAUGGACGCAUAAUUCUUCUUACACAACGAUUUUAAAUGUAUCUUUUGGUAAAAUAACUAUGAAGAACUUUCAAUAUGCAUAGCAAUGUAAAUAUACUGUAUGUCGUAGCA